AAAUUGCUGGAGCCCCAACCUAGACUGCACUCUCAGGACAUCCCCUCCCCAUACCUGACCCUUACUUGUGGCCCUGAGUGGCCUAAGGGCUCCAGGUCACACUGUCCAGUUUCCUGGGUACUGCAUGUGGGGAUUCAUUCGACUUGGCAUCUGGGAAGUUUUAGAAUUAAUCAAUGACUUGCAAGUAGUUCUCAGUUCAAAUGCACCUCCUCAGUGAAGCCCUUUCUGAUGCCCCAUCCACUAACAUGCAUGCCCUUGUCCUCCCUCUAAGCAUUUCUUUGUUAUUAACUGUCUGUGAACUUGCCUAAUUGCUUUCCUCUUCGAGUCUUAGAUUCAGACAGUGUUGGCUUCCGUAGUUCCUACUCACUUACAGCCAGGUGGGAAGACCUUAAAGAGGAAGACGCUGAGGAACAGAAGAGCCAUUGUUCAUUGCCUCCAAACCCUGCCAAGUACCUGUUGAGAUCACAACUUUCUGUAGAAAACCUGGGGCUUUUGCCAUUGGGAGAAGUAGGUUGCCUAAGCCACUUCCCAGACUUCUUGUGAGAUUGCUACAUUCACACAGGGAUCUAGGAGAUGCAUCAGACAACAAUACAGAGAUUAAAUCAGGAA